rnacentral:rRNA from 1 species
CCAGAGAUGGCUUGGUGCUCGAAAGAGAGCCUGGACACAGGUGCUGCAUGGCCGUCGUCAGCUCGUGUCGUGAGAUGUUGGGUUAAGUCCCGCAACGAGCGCAACCCUUGUCAUUAGUUGCUACGAAAGGGCACUCUAAUGAGACUGCCGGUGACAAACCGGAGGAAGGUGGGGAUGACGUCAGGUCCUCAUGGCCCUUAUGGGUAGGGCUACACACGUCAUACAAUGGCCGGUACAGAGGGCUGCCAACCCGCGAGGGGGAGCCAAUCCCAGAAAACCGGUCGUAGUCCGGAUCGUAGUNUGCAACUCGACUGCGUGAAGUCGGAAUCGCUAGUAAUCGCGGAUCAGCUUGCCGCGGUGAAUACGUUCCCGGGUCUUGUACACACCGCCCGUCACACCAUGGGA